AUGGUGGGCACCGGCUUGACGCUCUCCGGCGCCGGCUCGUCCUCCUCGGGCCCCCGCUUCUGCACCAGCAUCCCGCCCGGCCGCACCUCCCACACCUCCUCCGCCGACACCUUCCCCGUCCCCACCGCCACCGCCGGCGCCUUCUUCCCCUCCUCCACCGGCACCACGGGGGGAGGCGGAGGCGGGGCGCCCUUCCUCCUCAUGGUCAGCGACCCCAGCUCCACAGUCGCCGCGCCCUUCCUCACCCCCAGCAUGGUGACCGCCGCCGCCCGCCGAAUUGGCGCGCUUUGCAGCUGUAAGUAA
rnacentral:rRNA from 1 species